UACGGAGGAUCCAAGCGUUAUCCGGAUUCAUUGGGCGUAAAGGGUGCGUAGGCGGCGCGGUAAGUCGGGUGUGAAAUCUCGGGGCUUAACUCCGAAACUGCAUUCGAUACUGCCGUGCUUGAGGACUGGAGAGGAGACUGGAAUUUACGGUGUAGCGGUGAAAUGCGUAGAUAUCGUAAGGAAGACCAGUGGCGAAGGCGGGUCUCUGGACAGUUCCUGACGCUGAGGCACGAAGGCCAGGGGAGCAAACGGG
rnacentral:rRNA from 1 species